rnacentral:rRNA from 1 species
GCAAGUCGAGGGGCAGCAUUAAAUUUAUUUAUAAUAAAUUUUGAUGGCGACCGGCGUACGGGUGCGUAACACGUACGUAACCUACCUUUUGCUAGAAAAUAGCCUGAGGAAACUUAGAUUAAUGUUCUAUAGUAUAACAGAAUCGCAUGAUUCUGUUAUUAAAGUAGCAAUACGGCAAAAGAUGGGCGUGCGUCCGAUUAGUUAGUUGGUAAGGUAAAGGCUUACCAAGACAGUGAUCGGUAGGGGGCCUGAGAGGGUGAUCCCCCACACUGGUACUGAGACACGGACCAGACUCCUACGGGAGGCAGCAGGGGAGGAAUAUUGGUCAAUGGAGGAAACUCUGAACCAGCCACGCCGCGUGCAGGAAGAAUGCCUUACGGGUUGUAAACUGCUUUUGUUUAGGAAUAAAAAUUCUUACGUGAUAAGGAUUGUGAAUGUACUAUACGAAUAAGUGUCGGCAAACUCCGUGCCAGCAGCCGCGGUAAUACGGAGGACACGAGCGUUAUCCGGAUUU